rnacentral:rRNA from 2 species
UAGAGGAAGUAAAAGUCGUAACAAGGUCUCCGUUGGUGAACCAGCGGAGGGAUCAUUACUGAGUUUACGCUCUAUAACCCUUUGUGAACAUACCUAUAACUGUUGCUUCGGCGGGUAGGGUCUCCGCGACCCUCCCGGCCUCCCGCCUCCGGGCGGGUCGGCGCCCGCCGGAGGAUAACCAAACUCUGAUUUAACGACGUUUCUUCUGAGUGGUACAAGCAAAUAAUCAAAACUUUUAACAACGGAUCUCUUGGUUCUGGCAUCGAUGAAGAACGCAGCGAAAUGCGAUAAGUAAUGUGAAUUGCAGAAUUCAGUGAAUCAUCGAAUCUUUGAACGCACAUUGCGCCCGCCAGCAUUCUGGCGGGCAUGCCUGUUCGAGCGUCAUUUCAACCCUCAAGCUCUGCUUGGUGUUGGGGCCCUACAGCUGAUGUAGGCCCUCAAAGGUAGUGGCGGACCCUCCCGGAGCCUCCUUUGCGUAGUAACUUUACGUCUCGCACUGGGAUCCGGAGGGACUCUUGCCGUAAAACCCCCCAAUUUUCCAAAGGUUGACCUCGGAUCAGGUAGGAAUACCCGCUGAACUUAAGCAUAUCAAUAAGCGGAGG